GCUUGCAUGGCCGAGUGGUCUAAGGCGGUAGCUUCAGGUGCUAUUCUUCGGGCGCAGGUUCGAACCCUGCUGCAAGUA